GCGUACGACCACAUCACCCUGAACAUUCACCCGAUUUCGUUAGAUUUUGGAAGCAAAGUGGGGUCGAGUCUGGCUAUUAUUUGCAUGGGAGGCUGCCUGGGAAUACCAGGUGGUCUAGGCU
rnacentral:rRNA from 1 species